GUAACCAUGGAGAUGGCAUUAAUGGACUGUGUCACAACAAUAUUAUUGCUGUAUUGUGAUGCGCAUUGUCUAACAGUCGGCAAUAAACGUCAGAUUCUGAAGGCGUAACACUGGCAUUCAAUUAGACGCGGUGGAUAUUGAGAGCAAAGUAAACAGGUGAGGGUAUGAAAACAGUAAUACAACAACUUAGGAGACAGGUUGUUUCAAACAAUUGGAAGUGGUGUCAUAAAAGCAGCCACAAUAAAGAUCUUGGUCGGGUUGUUACAAACAUUCGAAGUUGACAUGAUUUUGGAGAUUCAGUGAAGAUUUGGAACUACAGAGAAGACCGGUGUCAUCUGCAAAUAAUUUGGUCAUCAAAUCAGAGCAAUGAGAGAUGUCGUUUAUAA